AAUAUAAGAAGACAGAGUUGUGUAAUUUGGCGCAGUUUGCGCUGGGUAGCAAAAUAUUUGCAGCGUUAUUGGGUCUAGGUUUGGCGAAGACGAUUUAAAUUUCCCGUUAUCAAAACCGAUGCUGAGUUUUCGACGAAAUGGAGCUUAGCGAGUGAAGGUCAAGAUGAAAAUUCGUUUUCUGUUGUCACGGAUUGAGAGGAAAGUUGUAGCGUUAUCGAAUUCCGGGGAUUUUUUAUGUGAGGUUUUGACAUGAUGCACGUUUUUAGUAGGAAUUUUAGAAACGUGCGAAACCUACUGAGAAAUUUCGAUCGUCAACAAAAACAUCAAGGUGAAUGGAGAAGAUGAGGUCGAGUGGUACAAAACAAAUGACUACCUUGGAUGCAACACUUUUCAGUGGUCACAAAUCUGUGUGAAACUGUAUUGUUGUUCUUAAAUAUAUGAAUUACAUAAGCGCUAUUUACAUUGUGUGACAGAAAAAGGACGCGAGGAACUGGGGACAGGGAAACAAUGGACCAUAAAAAUAAAAGUAAAUUGGAGUAAGACUACGCUACAAAUCUUGUUAUUUACACGGAGAAUUCUUUAGCUUGCUUGGGAUUGUAUUUGUAUGGGUAAUUGGUUACAAAUGUUACUGUAUUAAAAUUUAUCAAAGAUUUAGGUGACGUGAUUCGCAGUUUUUUCCUUGCAUGUUUUGAGAUCGAGAUUUGCAUGUUUGCACUAAUUAGGUCUUGUUUUACCGAGACAGAACGUUUGCGAAUAAUUAUUCUAAUUCAAGACAUCCGCUCUGUUAUUACAUAGUUAAAAAAAAUUUUUGU